CAGCCACAACAAACACAGCAACAACAACAACAACAGCAACACAGUAGCAAUACAACAAACCUGUACAAGAGGACAAAUGUCAUAACAAGUAACUCCUCAGUGCUGCCGUGGACAUCGUGUGAGAAAUCCGCUCAUGUCCUCAAACAGAAUAUGGUCAGUACUGCCCCGCUGGAGCACCGACCUGACCCAACGAACCAACAUAAGACUGUUAUAGCUGACAUAAACUCAAACGAAAAAGUGACUUUAUCCCCCGGAGUCAUGUUAGCUAGCCUACCCACAUCGAGUCCCAUCACAGGCUCGACUCCUGCCUCAGUCAUUCAAUUAUCCGAGAAAGCCAAUCACAACAGACUCUGUGAGAAGCAGGCAAUCAUGAGCAGCAUCCCGGUUCCUGUUGUGAAAUCGUCUGCUUCGACGUCGCCAUGGAUACAGCAGUAUGUCGGCCGGCACAGCACGGUGGGUUACGGCUGUCUCAAAGACUGGGCCUCGUCGGUUGCUAGUGUUAGUGAUAGUUACCCCUGCCACCAGAAAAUACAACAGGGUUUAAUUCCAGGGGACACAUAUUCUCAAGCAGCAAAAGUAGGGUAUUAAAAGAAAAUUCCAAUGAAUCAGACACCAGAUGACAGAGAAGACUGAAUGAAAUAGAUUUUUAAAAAUUAACUUCUUUUUUAUCUUGCCUACUGUCUAUCCAUCUAUCUAACUAACAUC
rnacentral:lncRNA from 1 species